rnacentral:rRNA from 1 species
UGGGGAGUAUUGCACAAUGGGGAAGACCCUGAUGCAGCAACGCCGCGUGAAGGAAGAAGGUCUUCGGAUUGUAAACUUCUGUCCUCAGGGAAGAUAAUGACGGUACCUGAGGAGGAAGCUCCGGCUAACUACGUGCCAGCAGCCGCGGUAAUACGUAGGGAGCGAGCGUUGUCCGGAUUUACUGGGUGUAAAGGGUGCGUAGGCGGAUCUGCAAGUCAGUAGUGAAAUCCCAGGGCUUAACCCUGGAACUGCUAUUGAAACUGUGGGUCUUGAGUGAGGUAGAGGCAGGCGGAAUUCCCGGUGUAGCGGUGAAAUGCGUAGAGAUCGGGAGGAACACCAGUGGCGAAGGCGGCCUGCUGGGCCUUAACUGACGCUGAGGCACGAAAAGCAUGGGUAGCAAACAGGAUUAGAUACCC